GCAGAUGUGGCGGAAUUGGCAGACGCACUAGAAUCAGAGUCUAGCGCUUUACGGCGUGCAGGUUCGAUUCCUGUCAUCUGCACCA
rnacentral:tRNA from 1 species